rnacentral:rRNA from 1 species
GAAACACGGACCAAGGAGUAUAACAUAUACGCGAGUCAUUGAGUAACCUGUAACUCAAAGGCGUAAUGAAAUGUGAUUAAUGUUUCGCGUGAUCCGUUAAGAUAUUUCUUAGCGGCGCAACGUGGACCCGUUUGAGUAUUUAUACCUAAACGGAGUUUGAGCGUAUAUGUUGUGACCCGAAAGAUGGUGAUUUAUGCCUGGGCAAGACGAAGCCAGAGGAAAUUCUGGUGGAGGUUUGAAGCGUUUCUGACGUGCAAAUCGAUCGUCUGACCUGGGUAUAGGGGCGAAAGACCAAUCGAACCAUCUAGUC